GGAUGAUCAGCCACACUGGAACUGAAACACGGUCCAGACUCCUACGGGAGGCAGCAGUGAGGAAUUUUGCGCAAUGGGGGAAACCCUGACGCAGCAACGCCGUGUGAGUGAAGAAGGCUUUCGGGUCGUAAAGCUCUGUCAAGUGGGAAAAAACCCUUUCGAUUAAUAGCCGGAAGGAUUGAUGGUACCAUUAAAGGAAGCACCGGCUAACUCCGUGCCAGCAGCCGCGGUAAUACGGAGGGUGCAAGCGUUGUUCGGAAUUAUUGGGCGUAAAGAGCGUGUAGGCGGUUUGGCAAGUCAGAUGUGAAAGCCCUGGGCUCAACCCAGGAAGUGCAUUUGAAACUGACAAUCUUGAGUAUGGGAGAGGAGAGUGGAAUUCCCAGUGUAGAGGUGAAAUUCGUAGAUAUUGGGAGGAACACCCGUGGCGAAGGCGACUCUCUGGACCAAUACUGACGCUGAGACGCGAAAGCGUGGGGAGCAAACAGGAUUAGAUACCCUGGUAGUCCACGCCGUAAACGAUGAGAACUAGGUGUAGCGGGUAUUGACCCCUGCUGUGCCGGAGUUAACGCAUUAAGUUCUCCGCCUGGGGAGUACGGCCGCAAGGCUAAAACUCAAAGGAAUUGACGGGGGCCCGCACAAGCGGUGGAGCAUGUGGUUCAAUUCGACAACGCGAAGAACCUUACCUGGAUUUGACAUCCUUUGACAGUCCCGGAAACGGGAUCUUUCCGACUUGUCGGAACAGAGUGACAGGUGCUGCAUGGCUGUCGUCAGCUCGUGUCGUGAGAUGUUGGGUUAAGUCCCGCAACGAGCGCAACCCUUGUCUUUAGUUGCCAGUAUUAAGUUAGGCACUCUAAAGAUACUGCCUCGGUUAACGAGGAGGAAGGUGGGGAUGACGUCAAGUCCUCAUGGCCUUUAUAUCCAGGGCUACACACGUGCUACAAUGGGCUGUACAAAGGGUUGCUAUUCCGCGAGGAGGCGCUAACCCCAAAAAGCAGUUCUCAGUUCGGAUUGGAGUCUGCAACUCGACUCCAUGAAGUCGGAAUCGCUAGUAAUCGUGGAUCAGCAUGCCACGGUGAAUACGUUCCCGGGCCUUGUACACACCGCCCGUCACACCACGAAAGUUGGCUGUACCAGAAGUUGCUGGGCUAACCCCGCUUGCGGGGAUGCAGGUACCUAAGGUACGGUUGAUAAUUGGGGUGAAGUCGUAACAAGGUA
rnacentral:rRNA from 1 species